rnacentral:rRNA from 1 species
UACGGAGGGUGCAAGCGUUAUCCGGAUUCACUGGGUUUAAAGGGUGCGUAGGUGGGUAUGUAAGUCAGUGGUGAAAUCUCCAGGCUUAACCUGGAAACUGCCGUUGAUACUAUAUAUCUUGAAUAUCCUGGAGGUGAACGGAAUAUGUCAUGUAGCGGUGAAAUGCUUAGAUAUGACAUAGAACACCCAUUGCGAAGGCAGUUCACUACGGGAUUAUUGACACUGAGGCACGAAAGCGUGGGGAUCAAAC